GUAUGUGAGGGGGAUCUGGCUGCCACAUCUGUUACUUCAUUCGUCGGCAGUGUUGAUGCAGCUGAUCUGGCUGGCUAGGCAGGUGUUCCCUUCCUCCCUCAAUGCUCCAUGUGUGUCCCUCGCAAAGCUGCGUGCUGGGUCAGAGAGGAUGACCACCCCCAAGACAGGAGCACCAUUCCAUCGUCAAGGGGUACAAGUAGCUGUGCUCCCUGCUAGCACCUCCAAACAAGCUUGAAGAAUAGACUUGCCAUAAAAAAAUACUAAUAUUCACAUAUCCUUGAAAUAUUU
rnacentral:snRNA from 1 species